GUCUAAGUCUACUGCCGCAUCGACUCCAUUUAAGUUGAAUUUCACAACAGACACCUGCAAAUAAAAUAUUCAUUGUGCUAAGUUACCUGUAAUAAAGCAAACGUUAUUUUUAUCUAAGUAUGGGUGAAUUUACCAGGGCAUAGAAGAUGGAUAGAAAGGUUAAAAUUUAAAGAUUAUAAACAACAAAAGAAGAAAUUUCCAUUUUUCGUGGUGGCAGGUGAGCUCAAUG